rnacentral:rRNA from 1 species
UGGGGAAUAUUGGACAAUGGGCGCAAGCCUGAUCCAGCCAUGCUGCGUGUGUGAUGAAGGCCUUAGGGUUGUAAAGGACUUUUGUCCGGGAAGCUGUACCGGAAGAAUAAGCCCCGGCUAACUACGUGCCAGCAGCCGCGGUAAUACGUAGGGUGCGAGCGUUAAUCGGAAUUACUGGGCGUAAAGCGUGCGCAGGCGGAUUUUAAGUGAGAGGUGAAAUCCUGGACGCAAUCCAGAACUGCCUUUCAUACUGGCAAUCUAGAGUCCGGAAGAGGUAAGUGGAACUCCAGUGUAGAGGUGGAAUUCGUAGAUAUUAGAAGAACACCAGUGGCGAAGGCGGCUUACUUCCGGU